CAUCCUUGGGAAGCGAAGUAUCUUUCCGGUGGUUCCCUUCCCUCCCCUCCAAAUCCCCCCUCACUAAGCAAGCACUAAAGGAGAUGUUCAGGGAGUACGGCAGCAGCAAAAGAAACACCUGCUUUAUCUCUCUUCUGUGAUCAUCAUCCUGUGCUUUAGGAUUUCCUCUUACAACAAGGAAGCACUCUUAUCCAUGCACCCAAUGAAAUAAAACAAGUACUUGGUUUCUCGUGCUGAAUGCGCUUCUUUAUGCUUUUCUGCGUUAUUCCUGCUGCUAUAUACCCUACUUUUCCUAUAUCUCAUCCAUUACUUCUCCCAUGACUCUUUAAUUUUCCUCUUUUCCUUUUUCCAUGGAGAACACAUUCCUCUUUCACUGUUUUUUUCAUAUUUAUAUUGCUUCUCAGUAUCACAUGCAGCUCGUAGGAUUCCUAAAGCACAGGUUCCCUCACUUCAACAAAAACUACGAGCAACUCAAGUAUCGCACAUCAGGUGUUUGUUGCUUUUUCUCUUUGAAAUAAAGCAAAAGAGCAACAGUGGAUGCUGCUGCUUUCCAAGGGCACAAGACUAGAACUCACAUGGAGAACUAUGCUCCCAUUGCAUGAAGAAAAACUCAACAAUAUUGUUUCAUGCAACAUAAAAAAUUUAUCUCCAUAUUCAAGUGCCUUUCAUACAUACAUCAUGCACAAUGUCAAUUUGAUUUUUGAUUCUAGAAGCAUGCUUGUUCACUUUGAAAUAAACUCUCUGAUGUUCUUUUUAUUUAUUUAUUUAUUUUUCUUGCUAAAAAGUGUUCAUCUAUUAUUACUUAAUACAUGGUACUUCGGAAACCUCACAAGUUUGUGAUCAUUGAACAGGGAGAAGAAGGAAAGAACACAGGAAAUAGAGCUGCAGGGAAAUCCAGGGAAUUAUCAUGAUUUGGUCUUCUCUCUGGAGACUAGUUUUCUAAAGUGGGCAAUUUCUUAAUGUCACCCAAGUGCUUUUAUAUACUUUUGAAGCAGGCUAUCAGAUAUUUGGGACCCAACUGAGUAAUUCUAUAUUAGAACUGGCAGAAAAGUAAGUGAAUCCUAGCUAAUGUGGACACUUGUUUUAAAGCACCCUAAAGAACAAGUGUGCAAAUGCUGACUGUUCCAUUAAUUUACCUAACAGCUAUUUUAUGUAGUAUUCAGUGGAUCUAAAGAUAUCAGGUCUUGGGGGAAUUUAGGUAGAAUUUGCACAUAGUCUUCAGCCAGUUUGCCUCAGAUGUCCUUCAAAUAGGAUCAAUUACUUCCAUUUCAUAUUUGGUGAAGUUGUAUGGUGUAAAAGUGAUCAACCAAAAUAACAGUCUGUUUCUCCUGAAGUGAUAUUUGAACUCAAUAGGCUCUCUCCUUCUGUGAUAAUUUUUAGCAUAGUUAAAGGCACUCAUAAUAUUAAUGUGCAUCAUCACAGGAACUGAGCCAUCUGUCAGAACUCCAAGAUAUUUUAGAAAUUAUCUUAGCUAUAUGAUUUCCCAAAUUCUCAUUACAAUAAAAACAUGUCUUCCUCUUAUUUUGCCAUCUGAUUGGUUCAAAUUAAAAUUAUAGUUGCCCUAUGUUGAAAGACCAUUGAUGUUGAAGUUUAAAGGCUCCAUGAACUGUAUAUUGUAGCCUCUCCUCUUCAUAUGCUUCUUGAAGAGCAUGAUAGAAGUGUGCAUUUUCUUUGAGGUGAGGCUCUCAUCACCAAAAGAACAUCAAACCAAGAUUCAUGGAUAAUUUAUGGUGGCAUUUUUGGUGAACCCUUUUAAAUUAUGUCUAGUACACUCAUCUACCAUGAUCUUAAUCAUUUAAUUAGGUUCAAAUAGCUACAAAAUUGCUUCACGGAUCUCCGAACAAGCUUAUUAUAUUCUUGUAUGUGAUGUGAGUCCUGAUUGUACCAAUGUGAUAUUUCAGUUUUUAGGUGCAAAGUUAUGAUCAUCUCAGCUUCAUGGGGUUUCCACAUUGUCAAAGAAGUCGAAGAAUUGCCAUGCCAAGAAGAUUGGAAGGAAUGCCAUGCCUAAGCAGUGACCCCCUCCAAAAGAUAUCUUUUGGGGUAUAUCACAUAGCAAAUAAUUUCUCACA
rnacentral:lncRNA from 1 species